rnacentral:rRNA from 1 species
AUUGAACGCUGGCGGCAGGCCUAACACAUGCAAGUCGAACGAGUGGCGGACGGGUGAGUAAUGUCUGGGAAACUGCCUGAUGGAGGGGGAUCACUACUGGAAACGGUAGCUAAUACCGCAUACCAUCGGAUGUGCCCAGAUGGGAUUGGCUAGUAGGUGGGGUAACGGCUCACCUAGGCGACGAUCCCUAGCUGGCCUGAGAGGAUGACCGGCCACACUGGAACGGGGACACGGUCCGCAUCCCAACGGGAGGCAGCGGUGGGGAUUAGUGCACAAUGGGCGCAGGCCUGAUGCAGCCAUGCGGCGUGUAUGAAGAGGGCCUUCGGGUUGUAAAGUACUUUCAGCGGGGAGGCGUUACCCGCAGAAGAAGCACCGGCUAACUCCGUGCCAGCAGCCGCGGUAAUUC